AGGACGAACGCUGGCGGCGUGCUUAACACAUGCAAGUCGAGCGGUAAGGCCUCCUUCGGGGGGUACACGAGCGGCGAACGGGUGAGUAACACGUGGGUGACCUGCCCCCUACUCUGGGAUAAGCCUGGGAAACUGGGUCUAAUACCGGAUAUGACUACAUGUCGCAUGGUGUGUGGUGGAAAGUUUUUCGGUGGGGGAUGGGCCCGCGGCCUAUCAGCUUGUUGGUGGGGUGAUGGCCUACCAAGGCGACGACGGGUA
rnacentral:rRNA from 1 species